UUAAGUAUUUCCAAAACCAUGUGGUAGUUCUGCAUUAAGUAUAACGCACCAAAGAUUUUGGCUUUUGAAGAAAGAUCUCCACCAACGAUCCCCGUCGACCACGACCACACCGCCCGCCGAUCCUCCAUCGCCGUCUGAACGCGUCGCCGCCCGUUAUCCACUACUACGUUGCCGUUGAUCCCCUACCGCACACGGCUCUGGUCCACCAACGUCCUGGAAAAUCGUCAUCUGAAUGCCUAAGCCAACGUGAGUGCCUUCUUCAGUUCCUCCUCUUCUACAGGUCUUCGUUGAUGCAACAGGAUACAAAAAUUGAUGGAGAGUGUAUUUGAUUGAACUGUCAGGUCUUCAGUUUCUCUUUUUUCUUGUUCGAGCCAAUCGGCCAGAUGAGCAAUUUCAGAAACAUGAAUGGAUUCAUUAUCUGUUAUACCCUAAGCGCUCCCCUUUAGCAAUUGGUUAUAUACUUUUCAGUAAUGAAUUUUGAACAUGAACAGAUAGAGGUACAAAUUAUAUGCCCUAAGAGCAUCUGGAUGUGAUCUAAUUACUAAAUUUGGUAUGGAGUAGGACAAGUUUAUAAUAUAUAAAUUAGUUGUAUGGAGUAGGACAGUUAUAUAAUGGUAUUCCUGUUUACCAUGCAAUUCUGAAUUGGUGACGAAAUUUCAUAGGUUUUAUAUGUGUUAGUUUAUCACUGCUGAUGCUGAUGUUAUAGUCAAAUGAGGACUGCACUGUUAAUGCACUGGAAAUUGGAAACUACAAAUUUGUAUCAUUGUUACAUGUUGAUAUUUCUAUAAAAUUUGACUUUUGAGUGUACAACCAGAACUCCGUGUAUUAAUGAUAAGACUCGUAUUAAAAGAAAAGAGGUUGUCCUCGAAAACACAUGUGCAAUAUUCACUAUUCAUAUCCUACAAAUUGAUCGAUGGUAUGGAGGGGGCUGGGCUUAGAAUUAUUAAUAUGGUCAACUCAGGUAAUCUUGCAUCUGGUUGUCAUCAAUGGGGCUUUCAUUCAGCUGGAAUUGUCUACAAAAUGCACCCUUCAUAUGUACCUGUUUGCACAUGCCUAUCGGUACUCCAUGCAUGGGUUAUUUUAGCUACACAUGUACUGCUCCAAUUUGAGCUAUUUUUAACUAAUAAUUAAUUAUUUAGUUAUUUUCUUGAUUAUCUGAUCCCUCAAAUAUUAAUUAUUCUUUUUGCACCUUAUAUUUACCAAUAUAGCUAUACCUACAACAAAAUAAUUGAUAUCUCAAAUAUGGCUCCUAAUCUUUCAGUUUGUUAUCCUUUUUUCACUUUGCAAUCAUUUCGUUGGAUGAUACAAAUGAAUGAUCCAAUCUGAACGACACCAUUAGAUGAGUUUUGGAGCUUCAUAAACAUGAAUGGAUUUUGCGGUACAGAUAUUUGGAGCUUUUACGGUUACAUGGGUACAGAAAAAUCAAGAAUGGGACACGCCUUAACAGAACAAUUUGUAAUGCUAUUUCUUCAGUUCAAAUUAGGAAACACAGUGGAAUGUCCAAUGUAUUAAACUGUAUAAUUCAGAAUUUAGGUGAAAACUUCAGAGUUUAGAUGAAAACUUGAGAAGUGAUUGCAUCCCAUGUACUCGAAAGGUUUUUGAUGUUUUGUUUCGGUCUGCAAACUGAUUGUUUUUUAUUGGCGGUUCAUCUGCAUGCAGAGAAGGUGUUGCCUUGGUACUAAGUUUCUAACAAGUGUACUUGCUGUGGUAUUUGCUAACUGCAUGCAAAUGCUCCAUUUUUCCUAUAAUAAUUAUUACCCAUCUGAUCACAUAGCAUUUCUAAUCGUGCUCAUGAAGUCGGGAGAAUAAUAACAUCCACCUCGGUGAUUUAUCUCUAUUUUACAUUUGCUUACAAGGCAAAUUUGGAUUUUGCUUAGGGGACCGCCUUAAAGCUUAUCAAACGUACUGCACUACUGUGUGCGUGGAAGAGGAAUACUAGUUCCUUAAUUCAAAAGACUGGUUCAUUUGUGGGCGCGAUUGGGCGGGUCUGGUAUAUUUUGGUAGUUCAAUAGACCUUCUUAAAUGCAGAUUGAAAAUAUUAGUACCAUGUUACGAACAGAUGUGAUGCAAUCCAUGACAUGAUCUAUAUUUUUUUAUCACUGAAAUUGACGUCUGAAUAUUAUGUUUGAGGUCUGGAAGUGACACUGUGAGGUCUGAAUAUUAUGUUUCAGGAAGAGUUCUAUCCAAAGUUUGGAGAUGUAUUGAAUGUAGGCAGAUUUGUAAAUUGUACAUUCUUAUUAGUCCUGGUACUCUAUCAAAUUAGAGUCAACUAAAUUAUACUCAACUGUAUGUUGUAUUUUUUUUGUUGUAUUUCUUCACUGAAGUA